UACGUAGGGUGCGAGCGUUAAUCGGAAUUACUGGGCGUAAAGCGUGCGCAGGCGGUUUUGUAAGCCAGAUGUGAAAUCCCCGGGCUUAACCUGGGAACUGCAUCCGAUACUGGAUGGCUUGAAUUCGGGAGAGGGAUGCAGAAUUCCAGGUGUAGCGGUGAAAUGCGUAGAUAUCUGGAGGAAUACCGGUGGCGAAGGCGGCAUCCUGGACCGACAUUGACGCUGAACGGCGAAAGCUAGGGGAGCAAACGGG
rnacentral:rRNA from 1 species